AUCAGAAACUCCUGUGGGCUCACCAGAUGUCAGGAGCGAUGGGACACCAGAGGCGGAAGAACCUAUGUCCCCAGGCUACAGCAAAGCUCCCAGCCCUAUGAAAAUCAUCUAGCCUGCUCUGAGCCACAUGCCUAGAGGUCACAGAGGCAUGCGGGAAAGUGAGAGGAAGUGGAAACGUGCUACAAAAAGGGCUCAAAGCAAUGUGCUCACCACCGGAAAAAAAAAUAAAAAUAAACACCCUCAGAAAUAGUGUAACUGAUAUGCAAAGAAGAUCAAAACAAGG
rnacentral:lncRNA from 1 species